UGCGUCACUUCCGACAAAACCGAUCGCGUCAAUGGUGGAACCCGUUUAAACCGCCGCAACUCGUGAAUGAGUUCAGAAUCUUUUUUUUCAUUGCCAGGCCGACCUAAUAUUUUAGUAGAGGCUGGACAAGUGAGUCUUUGAAGAAUACGUGAAGCUCUUCAGAACCGCGCUCGCGUUAGCGCCCCCCCCUCGUGGCAGCGGAUAUAUCAGACGACAAACCACCGAGCGCGUCGUUGACGUCACAUGUGUGACUGUGACGAAACUGACCGGACAUGGCCCAGGAAGAAAGCUCUGGCAGAGCUGGACUCCGUGUGGUUGCUCGUCUGCCUUGACCUGAUGGGGUUCGAGGAAAGAAAAUUGGCGACAGUAGGUGACACAUGCAGCGAUGGAGAGCAGGGAGACGAGGAGCACCAUGCAGGCCGCGAUGACCACGUUUCUCCUCUUCUCCUUCUCGGCCUGCUGAAGCUCCCACCACUCCAGGUCACUGAACUGACAGCGUUCCCCCAUGUAGCCCGAGAGACAACUGCAACAGGCGUACGACUCCAUUUCGGGAAAGUAGAAGCAGACGCCCUGGUACAGACAGUAGGACUCGUGGGUGGAGGGGCAGCUCUCCACUGAGUUACCGUUGUGGUGCCGGAUAGUGACAUCAGCAGGGCUGCUGGUCGUCAUCACCCAUGUCGAUGCAGUCUCCUGCUCUGGAGACGGAGGAUUAUGGAUGUAAAGUGAUUCAAUUUGGUGAAUAUACACUGCCGCGGCUCCCGUUCCGAGAUCCAGAGCCUGUCCUCAAAUACGGCGAGGUCGAACGGUCGACCUGGACAAGUCGAGAGUAGAGGAGGGGAAAAACUGAGUGGACGAGCUGAUGCCAGGAUCCGCCGGUCCGAGCCAUCCAGGCCAGCCGUCUCUACCACGCCCCUGCGUUGGUCGCACCAGAACAGACGAUCCUCCGUGAAGUCGAUGGCCAGGCCGCCAGGUGACACAAGGUUCGUCAUAGUGAUGGUGAAGUCUCGGUGAUGUCGACUCUGAAUAGCGUUUGAGAACUUUGCUUUGUGCACAGACACACUCCAACGACAAGAGAGGCAGGGAGCGUCUGACAGAGUGAUGCGCCUUCAUCUCCUUAAAGGAAACCGCGUCUUCCCUCCACGUCGACUCUGGAUCAGUGGAAAAUUGGAAAACAGAGAGGGGUAACCGCUGGAGAAGUCCCUGCAGAGAAGAGGAAGUGAGGACCAGACUGGGUUCAUGUUCUCUUCACCUGUAAAAUGAGGGUCCUGAGGGCGAGGAGGCGACCCUGACUUGCAGCAUCGUGGAGGGGUGAGCGGUCGGCCCAGGAUCCUGGAUGGGGAAUAAGAAUGCUCACCGUGUCGUUGGCCGUAGUCGUAGAACUCUGCUGAUAUCCUGGCCGCCUCCUUACGGUUCCCACGGACGAUGUAGAAGUAUGUCAGCAAGUUGAGGGAAAUCUUGACAAAGAGCUUGAAGCAGAACAGUGCCAAGAUGCUGAGAGGAGCCUGCGACGAUGAAGGCGAGGAUCAGACGCUAACUCCGGAAAAAAAGCACAAGAGGAGACGACUUUUUUUCCUCCCGGGGUCCUGGGGACCGGUUGGCUCGUUCCUGACAAAGUACAGACUGGAAAAAAAAAAAUGC